AAAUUUGAGCAGAAGGCAUGCAUCUUACUUCAAAGACAUUUACCAAUACACAGGAUUAUGGUAUCUUUUUCCCCGACACAGUUAUUUAUUAGCAACUUUAAGAUCGUGAAUGCUGCAUCAGCCGGGACCUUUCUGUAAGUAACAACUAUGAAUAGCAGCUCCUGUCAAGUCUCACACUGUAGUAUGAGUGGAAAAUUAAUCUUUGUUAUUCCAAAGGACAAAUACUGAAGUUAGUUUUUACUACAAUGUGACCUAAAUUAUCAUAAAUGAUUCCACACAAUAUAAAUUGUUUCACAGCAUUUAAACUCUAUAAGUCAGAUAUACAAAAUAUAAAUGUGCCUUUUCCAUUUCUUAACUAGAAUACAUUUUGACCAGAAGAUUUCAUUCCCACAGUUAGUGCAGAAAAUAUUAAAAUUUAGCAGUGAUGAGUAAUUUUCAUUUUUCAGGGGUUUUUUGUUGUUGUUGUUGCUCGUUUAAAACUUUUUCUGUUGGAUGAAUAAUUAUCCAGGGAAUAAAGAUUUUAAAUCUCUACAAAAGUAAAUUAUUUUCAAAAGAUGUGUCUUUACCUUCCUGGAUAAGCUUGCAUGUAAGUGAAAAGGGAUUUCUAAGACAUGUAGCAGAAUUGAUAGGACUAUAGGUGUUUGUGUACUUCCCUGAGUGUUUUUGCUUCCUGUGGUUGCAAUGUCAUCUUGUCUUUUUCUUGGGCACGUACUAUAGCAAUGCCUAGGUAAUGGCUAAUGCUGGCUGUAUCCUUGGGGAUGAUGUUGGCACCAGCUACUUAAAUACAUUAAGAGUUGUGAGAGUGGUGAGCUCCCUGUGUGCUAACUUCUCUUCAUCCUAACCUCAUUUUUCCUUUCUUUUGGCUCUUUCAUCUCCGUGUUGAACUCUCGGUUGCUUUCUCUGACUCUCACCUGAUAUGCACAGAGCUUGGUGAAGGUUUCUUCAUGGUCACCCCUUUGGCUUUGUCUAAUCUGCUUCAAGGUGCCAUAUUGAAUGUUGACUUACCAAGUCAGCUUACUCUGAAAGUCGCUACAUCCCUGGUACUUGUCUACCAUCCCCCAAAGCCUAUAGAACAUUUCUAUCCAUUUCUGCCAUUGAUUUUUAACCAAAAGUGGGAACAAGAGAGCUCUGAUGUAUUACUCCUGCUGUGAAUUUUCUCUGCCUUGCAACUUCUCCUUCAACUUCCAGUCAGAGGUCUUUGGCUAUUCCUGCUCUCAGGAGUUUCCCUCUGUUCUUUCUUCUUCAGUCCUGGGUAUUCGUCUUCUGUUUCUCAAUGACAACUUUACCCAAAGGGCCACAGGGAACAAAGGCUCAGGGGCAUCGAUCCAGCAUGCCAAAAUCAC
ensembl:lncRNA